CUACGGGAGGCUGCAGGCGAGAAAACUUUGCAAUGUGCGAAAGCACGACAAGGUUAAUCCGAGUGGUUUCUGCUAAAGGAACCUUUUGUCGGUCCUAGAAACACCGAUGAAUAAGGGGUGGGCAAGUUCUGGUGUCAGCCGCCGCGGUAAAACCAGCACCUCAAGUGGUCAGGAUGAUUAUUGGGCCUAAAGCAUCCGUAGCCGGCUCUGUAAGUUUUCGAUUAAAUCUGUACGCUUAACGUACAGGCUGCCGGGAAUACUGCAUAGCUAGGGAGUGGGAGAGGUAGACGGUACUCGGUAGGAAGGGGUAAAAUCCUUUGAUCUAUUGAUGACCACCUGUGGCGAAGGCGGUCUACCAGAACACGUCCGACGGUGAGGGAUGAAAGCUGGGGGAGCAAACCGGAUUAGAUACCCCAGUAGUC
rnacentral:rRNA from 1 species